rnacentral:pre_miRNA from 1 species
UCUUAGGGAUGAGCAGACAAAGUGGUUCUUGAGAUGGAAACUACUCCUGGUGAAGAUGCUGUGAA